UGGUUCACUUAAUUUCGAGGGACGGGGCGAUCCACCUCAACGUCUUCAUCUCGGUGUUGGCUGUUUUUUAAUGUUUCUUACUGCCUCUUCUUAGCCAUGUGCUUGGGAAUCGCCAAGAUGGCAAAAUGGAAGUCGUGGGAAGAAGAGACUCAAACCACUUGAGCAUCAGAUUGUUCGUGAUCCAAGCAGAUUUCAUUUUACACGUCAAAGUCAUUUGGGCGGCGACAUCUGGAAUUCUGGAGUCUCCAUCCUCUUUUACUGUGGCCAGUUUGUUUUAUCCUGACCGUUUGGAGGGUCGAUAUCGAAAGCUGAUUACUUCACUCUCCAUCACGGAUUCAUCA